rnacentral:lncRNA from 1 species
GAGUAUAUAUAUGUAUGUGAGUGUGCAUAGAUAAGCUGGUUUCGUUUUGGAGGCUAGCACAGAGUCAAUACCUUGAAUGUUGUACAUAUUCGAGGUACAUAAUCGCUUUCUUUGUUCCUUUCUCCUAUGUAUGGGUGGACACUUCAGUUAUUUUAUCGAUUUAAUUUAGGUUUGGAUCGGUCUGGUUAAUCUGGUUCUAAAAUUUUUCCAACUGAAGUAAACCAUAAUUAGUUUGGUUUGGAUCGGUUUUGGUUCGGUUUCUAUUCGGCUUGAUUUCUGUCUCGGUUCCGUCCAAUCGGGUUACCCUAGUUUAGUUCUUUUAAGAGAAUACAUGUUUUAAAACAUAAACGUAUGGUCACGAAAUCAUCAUGUUGGUUACUAUGAAAAAUCGAGAGAUCUCUGCAUCUUCUACUCUUCUCAAAGCCAUCAUUAAUGCAUGUGAAUGGCAAUCUGUACAGCUCAUGUUUUGGAUCGUCUCAGAUCUGCCCCUGAUUUUCGCUCUAAUCUCUCUACUUGUAGAUCUCAUGCAGAUUGCUAUCGGGACAGUAAUAUGGCGGGUUUAGGUUGGGUUUCCGAACCUCCUUGUUCAUAAUCGCUCAGUGUAUGCUUACAAGAAGUGGCUCAGGUUUUGUCGCCUCUCAUGGCUGAAGCUCUUGCUCUUGGGGCAGCCCUAUCAGCACAACAGUUUCACCUUUCUAAAGUUCGGAUGCGUUCCGACUCUUAAGAACUUAUCCAAGCCAUAGUCUCAAAAUCAUAUCCGUUGGAGCUCUAUAGAGUUCUCGAGACCCUAUCUUCCUCUUUCACUUUUAUUAAAUUUUCUUUCAUCUUACGAGAACAGAACAUGAUCUCGGAAUCUGUGGCAAAGUUUAUAUUUUGUAAUGCCUCUCCCAUGUUGCAUUGAACUUUGAAUUUUAAUAGAUUGCUGUUAAAAAAAAAAUGUUCUUAUGGAGUUACAAGAUAUAUACUCUUUUCACAAGUGUUCAAUACUAUUUUCUAUUUUUACAAGAAACAACUGGUUAGAACUGGUAUAAAACGUUUAACAUUAACCAACAUUUACAAAUUAUUUGUGGAUUUACGGUGAACCC